rnacentral:rRNA from 1 species
AACGAACGCUGGCGGCAGGCCUAACACAUGCAAGUCGAACGCUCCGCAAGGGGCGUGGCGCACGGGUGAGUAACACGUGGGAACAUGCCCUUGGGUACGGAAUAACGGCGGGAAACUGCCGAGAAUACCGUAUGAUGUCUUCGGAACAAAGAUUUAUCGCCCAAGGAUUGGCCCGCGUCUGAUCAGCUAGUUGGUGGGGUAAUGGCCUACCAAGGCUACGAUCAGUAGCUGGUCUGAGAGGACGACCAGCCACACUGGGACUGAGACACGGCCCAGACUCCUACGGGAGGCAGCAGUGGGGAAUAUUGGACAAUGGGGGAAACCCUGAUCCAGCCAUGCCGCGUGAGUGCUAAGGCCUUCGGGUUGUAAAACUCUUUCGCGAGGGAAGAUAAUGACGGUACCUCGAGAAGAAGCUCCGGUUAACUUCGUGCCAGCAGCCGCCGUAA